UUUUUUUUUUUUAAAACACUUUUCUUCUCCUUCCUCAUCAGCUCCAUCUUGCUGCAUCUUUUUCCUCUAUUUAAAGAAGCUUGUCAUUUACUCCUUCACUUGGUACUAGCUCUAAUGUGCACUUCUUCAGACUUUAGGUUAUGAUCUCGUAUGGUGAAUAUUUUCUUAUUAUUUUUCUUUCUUGAAGUAUAGUUUAGACGGAGAUGAGGACGAGUUCUUGUGGGGAAUUAGACGAAUUUCUCAAUUACAAUUUGAGGAGAAAGCAAAAUGGAUAUUCAGAAAGCUGAAAGAUGUUUUGCAAAAUAAUUGACCAUUUUGGUGUGUAGUGUACAUCAAAAGUUGAGAUUGGCAUAUCCAAAGUUGUGUCUAAAAUGUUGGGAUACUUUGGCCUUACGUGUGUGGUGUGUUUCUAUUGCAAUUACAGGAUUCGUGUUCCUUUAAUCAAAAUUUCUCUUCAUUGAUUGUC